CUUUGAACAGUUACAACAUGUUAGUGCAACUUACCAAAUGUAGAGAAUGCAAGCCAACCGCUGAAUACUGGACUCUCAUUCAAACGCUGGAGCGGAGGGAGUUGCCAUGGAAACGGGGCAACAACACCAACUGCAAACCGUAAAUCUCCAUUUCUCGCUGCUGUUUUCACUGCUUUCAGAAAACUUCGAAAGAGUCCGUUAUCAUCGCAAGUGUUUUUUUUUUUUUAGGUGAGGAAUGAGAAUAUAAUCUCUCUACAACAGAAGAGAAGCUCCAAAAUGUCAAAGUAUCUGAAGGGAGCUGCUGACAGAAAUGUAGGAAACACAGGAUCCUAUGUAUCCAGCCUCAACCAUUCAUCAAAAGGACUGUGAAAGCGGGAAUUCUUUGAACAACCAGUGGCAGUUUCCACAGGAUGAAAAAGGGCAUAUUAGUGGAUGAUGGGGGUACUGACAUUAACCUGCUGUAUUUACUGUAUUACACAUUUUUGUCAGUUUUUCAUUUCAAGUACUGGAUGGCAUGCUGUCCUAACACUAACUAGUCAGAGCUCAGGUACCACCCAAAAUGCUGCCAUUACAAGUCAGAAAAAGAGAAAUAUAUAUAGUCAGGUUAUCAUCGACUCAGACUUGACAGUGAUGAUUGAUCAUGAAACCGAUGAUUGCAGUGACUUUAAAAAAUGAUGAAUUAUUGCUGUCAAGUCUGAGUACUCUAGUACUUGUGCACAUCCCUAUUUAACACAUAUACAGAGUAUUGAGGUAUGAUGUAUAUACUGCAUUGAUGUAUAAAUUCAAUAAACAUUUUAAUCAUACAUCUUGUCAAGUUAUGUUACUUCUGGAUUUUUUUUUUUUUUUUUUUUAUGAACAAACCUAUUAAAGAAAAUUUAUAGUAUGAU